rnacentral:rRNA from 1 species
CCUACGGGUGGCAGCAGUGGGGAAUAUUGGACAAUGGGGGGAACCCUGAUCCAGCCAUGCCGCGUGUGUGAAGAAGGCCCUCGGGUUGUAAAGCACUUUCAGUGAGGAAGAACGCCUGGUGGUUAAUACCCAUCAGGAAAGACAUCACUCACAGAAGAAGCACCGGCUAACUCCGUGCCAGCAGCCGCGGUAAUACGGAGGGUGCGAGCGUUAAUCGGAAUUACUGGGCGUAAAGCGCGCGUAGGUGGCUUGAUAAGCCGGUUGUGAAAGCCCCGGGCUCAACCUGGGAACGGCAUCCGGAACUGUCAAGCUAGAGUGCAGGAGAGGAAGGUAGAAUUCCCGGUGUAGCGGAGAAAUGCGUAGAGAUCGGGAGGAAUACCAGUGGCGAAGGCGGCCUUCUGGACUGACACUGACACUGAGGUGCGAAAGCGUGGGUAGCAAACAGGAUUAGAUACCCUAGUAGUC